GUUUCAGACUCGAAGCUGCCUGAUGCUCAAUCUGGCUACGAAAAAGCAACGACUGCUUUACUUUGUGCUCUAGCAGGCAGUAACUAUGUCCACAAUUGCG
rfam:Thermoanaerobacterales bacterium 50_218 S_scaffold_21, whole genome shotgun sequence.